rnacentral:rRNA from 1 species
GACGAACGCUGGCGGCGUGCUUAACACAUGCAAGUCGAACGGAAAGGCCCUGCUUGCAGGGUACUCGAGUGGCGAACGGGUGAGUAACACGUGGGUGAUCUGCCCUGCACUUCGGGAUAAGCCUGGGAAACUGGGUCUAAUACCGGAUAGGAGCCAUUUUGAGUGUGAUGGUUGGAAAGUUUUUUCGGUGUAGGAUGAGCUCGCGGCCUAUCAGCUUGUUGGUGGGGUAAUGGCCUACCAAGGCGGCGACGGGUAGCCGGCCUGAGAGGGUGGACGGCCACAUUGGGACUGAGAUACGGCCCAGACUCCUACGGGAGGCAGAAGUGGGGAAUAUUGCACAAGGGGCGCAAGCCUGAUGCAGCGACGCCGCGUGGGGGAUGACGGCCUUCGGGUUGUAAACUCCUUUCGCUAGGGACGAAGCUUUUUGUGACGGUACCUAGAUAAGAAGCACCGGCUAACUACGUG